CCCAGCACGUGCCCUCCAGCAGCAUUUUCGUCACCAAGCAUACAUACAGAGGCCGCAUUUAACGGGCUGUCUACCCCAGCUGCUGAGGACAAGAUCCACCUAGGGAACAACCUUUGGAUACCUGUUGACAAAUUCAAAUAUAUCCAGCGUGGGACCACAGACAUGAAGCUUGUAAAAGAUAUGGCCCGUCACUUCUGGACAGUCGACGAGUUGUCGUCGAGAAGCAUGACAGGCCAGCCCUGCAGGAGGCCAAGGGUUACGGGAGUUGCUAAACAGCAACCUACGCCUCAAAAAGUGGAGGCUAUAACAAGUAAGUCUCUGCGUUUGGUAUUCAACAAAGGCAAGCUGCC